rnacentral:rRNA from 1 species
AGGGAAUCUUCCACAAUGGGCGGAAGCCUGAUGGAGCAACGCCGCGUGAGUGAAGAAGGUUUUCGGAUCGUAAAACUCUGUUGUAAGGGAAGAACAAGUACAGUAGUAACUGGCUGUACCUUGACGGUACCUUAUUAGAAAGCCACGGCUAACUACGUGCCAGCAGCCGCGGUAAUACGUAGGUGGCAAGCGUUGUCCGGAAUUAUUGGGCGUAAAGCGCGCGCAGGCGGUUUCUUAAGUCUGAUGUGAAAGCCCACGGCUCAACCGUGGAGGGUCAUUGGAAACUGGGAGACUUGAGUGCAGAAGAGAAGAGCGGAAUUCCACGUGUAGCGGUGAAAUGCGUAGAGAUGUGGAGGAACACCAGUGGCGAAGGCGGCUCUUUGGUCUGUAACUGACGCUGAGGCGCGAAAGCGUGGGGAGCGAAC